GACGAACGCUGGCGGCGUGCUUAACACAUGCAAGUCGAACGGAAAGACCCUGCUUUUGUGGGGUGCUCGAGUGGCGAACGGGUGAGUAACACGUGAGUAACCUGCCCUUGACUUUGGGAUAACUUCAGGAAACUGGGGCUAAUACCGGAUAGGAGCUCCUGCUGCAUGGUGGGGGUUGGAAAGUUUCGGCGGUUGGGGAUGGACUCGCGGCUUAUCAGCUUGUUGGUGGGGUAGUGGCUUACCAAGGCUUUGACGGGUAGCCGGCCUGCGAGGGUGACCGGCCACAUUGGGACUGGGAUACGGCCCAGACUCCUCCGGGAGGCAGCAGUGGGGAAGAGUGCACAAUGGGCUGAAGCCUGAUGCAGCAACGCCGCGUGCGGGAUGACGGCCUUCGGGUUGUAAACCGCUGUCGCCUGUGACGAAGCGUGAGUGACGGUAAUGGGUAAAGAAGCACCGGCUAACUACGUG
rnacentral:rRNA from 1 species